rnacentral:rRNA from 1 species
AUACAAGUACGAACGAAGGAGUAUGCCACGAGGAGGAGCUUCGGCAGGAAUCAGGCAUAUUCGAGUGGCGGACGGGUGAGUAACGCGUGAGCAACCUGUCCCAGACAGGGGGAUAACACUUGGAAACAGGUGCUAAUACCGCAUAAGACCACGGUACCACAUGGUAUUGGGGUAAAAGGAGCAAUCCGGUUUGGGGUGGGCUCGCGUCCGAUUAGAUAGUUGGUGAGGUAACGGCCCACCAAGUCGACGAUCGGUAGCCGACCUGAGAGGGUGAUCGGCCACAUUGGAACUGAGAGACGGUCCAAACUCCUACGGGAGGCAGCAGUGGGGAAUAUUGGGCAAUGGGCGAAAGCCUGAACCCCAGCAACGCCGCGUGAGUGAAGAAGGCCUUCGGGUUGUAAAGCUCUGUUAUAGUUGACGAAGGAAGUGACGGUAGGCUAUAAGGAAGCCCCGGCUAACUACGUGCCAGCAGCCGC